rnacentral:rRNA from 1 species
GUGUCAGCAGCCGCGGUAAUACGUAGGGGGCAAGCGUUGUCCGGAAUCAUUGGGCGUAAAGAGCUCGUAGGCGGUUCAGUAAGUCGGGUGUGAAAGCUCCGAGCUCAACUCGGAGAGGCCACUCGAUACUGCUGUGACUAGAAUCCAGUAGGGGAGUGUGGAAUUCCUGGUGUAGCGGUGAAAUGCGCAGAUAUCAGGAGGAACACCAGCGGCGAAGGCGGCACUCUGGGCUGGUAUUGACGCUGAGGAGCGAAAGUGUGGGUAGCAAACAGGAUUAGAUACCCUGGUAGUCC